AAAAUCAAAGGAUUUGACGGGGCCCGCACAAGCAGCGGAGCAUUUGAUUUAAUUAGAAGCAAACGAGAAGACCUAACAUAGACUUGACAUCUCAUGAAUAGUGUAGAGAUACAUGAAGCCCUUCGGGGCAGGAAGACAGGUGGUGCAUGGUUGUCGUCAAGCUCGUGUCGUGAGAUGUUGGGUUAAGUCCCGCAACGAGCGCAACCCUUAUUACUAGUUGCUACCAUUAAGUUGAGCACUCUAGUGAGACUGCCCGGGUUAACCGGGAGGAAGGCGGGGAUGACGUCAAAUCAUCAUGCCCCUUAUGUCUAGGGCAACACACGUGCUACAAUGGUGAGUACAGAUAGAUGCGAUACCGCAAGGUGGAGCCAAACUCUAAAACUCAUCCCAGUUCGGAUUGUAGGCUGCAACUCGCCUAACAUGAAGUUGGAGUUGCUAGUAAUCGCGAAUCAGAAUGU
rnacentral:rRNA from 1 species